ensembl:lncRNA
CCACAGAGAUCCCUUCCAGCAGGUCAACCCUGACCUGUACUGAUAGGUCUGAUUACUCUUCUCCAGGUGUAGCAUUCUACACUUGAUACUGUUGAACCUCAUCAGGUUCCUCUCCACUCAGCUCUCCGGUCUGCCCAGGUCUAGCUGAAUGGCAGCACAGUCUUCAGGUGUGUCAGCCACUUCUCCUGGCUUUGUAUCAUCAGAAAACUUGCUGAGGAUGUACACUAUCCAUUGACCCAUGUCAUUCAUGAAGAUGCUGAACAAGAUCAGAUCCAAUACCAGAUCCAAUAUCCAAUGUUCCCUGUGGAACAUCACUAGUUACUGGCCUCCAACCAGACUCUGUGUUGCUGAUCACAACACUCUGAGCUCUGCCAGUCUGCCAGUUCUCAAUACGUCUCACUGUGCAACCAUUUAUCCCACACAUCCUAAGCUUACCUAUGAGGAUGUCCUGGGAGAUAGCAUCAAAAGACUUGCUGAAGUCAAGGUAGAUAGCAACCACUGUUCUCCCCUCACCUGACCAGCCAGUCAUAAUAUCCAUGAAGGCUACCAGGUUGGUCUAGCAUGACCAACUUGGGGAAUCUGUGCUGACUACUACUGAUAGCCUUCUUUGUUUCUAUUUGCUCAGAGAUGGCAUCCAGAACAAGUUGUUCUAUCACCUUUCCAGGGACAGAGGUGGACUGGUCUGGAGCUGCUUACAAGAGAUAUAAUGACUGGUGAGUCCCACCCUUCAGUUCUGGCAAGGUGGAACAUAAGUAAUGCUUGUCAAAUGAUGUGGCAUCCAGACGCUACAAUGCCAAGGCAAAGCAUAAACAUAUAAACAGAUGGGCAGAUCACUUAAUUUCUGUGGCCUCAAACAGCAACUGUUACCAUGCUGACUAUAUAUAGACUAAACAUGACCCUAGAUGAUGAUCAUUUAACAAUAGUUUUUCUCCAGCAACAACAAGGUGUCUGGAAGAAGUUCCUCUCCACCCCGGCAGCUUGCUCCUGCUUACUGUCACCAUUUCUCAGGAUGAGUGAUACAAGUGUCAGCUUUGCUUCUGACAUUAUCUCUAUCUCAAAUGAGUCUUUUCAAAUCGGAAAAAAAUACUUAAUCCUUAACCAAGACAAUUUCUGACACUUCCAGACAGCUUUAAGGCACAGCCUUGGGGUGUGGGCCUUGAGGGAUGGGCAGCAGGGCAGGAGGAAUGAGGAGGCUGGAGCUUCUCAGGCAGGCUUCAUCACUGGGGUAAUCACGUUGCUGAGUCAUCCCCUUUCUUAGUGAUGAGAAAAUACCAGAAGAUACUUAAUUGUAGGACAAGUUAUCCAGGCAUUGCCACUGCUUUAAUGACUGUAAUUAUAAUGGCACAUCACAACUCGAUACUGUAUCACAGCCACAUAGAGAUAGGUGUGAUGGCUGUGUGCUUUCCCAGCGUGCAGUACUGUGGGUUGGUCUGCCAUCUUAUUCUUCUGAUUUUCCAUAAUCCUUUGAGAUCUACUUUCUUGCUUUCUUACAGAAAAUUUUUGUUCCCCAGAGUAUUUAGGAAGGUGCCUAUUUCAGCUGUUUCACUUCUUUGUUCAGAGUUACACUGUCUAUUCCCCUUCAGUAUCUCUCGGUCUUGGUGUUUUUCCCAUAGCUGUCUUUCUGCUUUCAGAAUAUAUCAUCUCUGUUCAUGCUCUGCUGGAAUCACUUCUCUAUUCAAACAAAAAAUCUGUUUUUAGCCAUGUCUGUAAAUUUGAAAGCCUGCAGAGUAAACUGCCAAAUAUGAUGGGCAUAUCUUCUUUAUACCUAUGGAAAAAUUGAAUCUUCAGGUCAGGAUGUUGUUGAUCACCAUACAGGGCUAUACAUCAGUGCUGCGAUCACAUGUGCGAGGACUACUUCGGUGAGUGUGCACCCAAGUCCCCAGACCUGUGCAUGGCAUGAUUGGCCUAAGAGCACAGCUCAGCACCAACACAUUCUGGGCCCCUUGGUGAGAGAGGGGAUGCAGCCCCAGGAGGAGCAGCACUGACAGCCAGCAAUCAGCUCUCUUUAUGCAGUUCGUUGCUGUGGCUGAAGCUGUCGCCAAAAAGGGAAUCUUUCUGUACUUUCUCCUACUCUGUGUUCCUUGCACUACAUGUCACAUAAAUAAAAAUAAAUAAAUGAACAAACCAAAGCUUGAUUCUCCGUCCCACUGGUGAGGAUGGUUGAAGAACCUCAGUGCAGAGAGAGAGGAAUAUCAACGUUUGUCUCUGCCUGCUUUCUCAAACAGUGCUUGAACCACUGCACCCAGAACUCUUGGUGGAGGAAUUGUGUAUCUACUCAGAAUGUGAGAGGAAAUUCAGUUCUGUUCAGCAUAUCUACUGCCAAAGAGUCCUCCUGUUUUGCAGGAGAGUGCUCCUGUCUAAAUAAAGCUUUUGUAAA